rnacentral:rRNA from 1 species
AUUGAACGCUGGCGGCAGGCCUAACACAUGCAAGUCGAGCGGAUGAAGGGAGCUUGCUCCUGGAUUCAGCGGCGGACGGGUGAGUAAUGCCUAGGAAUCUGCCGGGUAGUGGGGGAUAACGUCCGGAAACGGGCGCUAAUACCGCAUACGUCCUGAGGGAGAAAGAGGGGGAUCUUCGGACCUCACGCUAUCAGAUGAGCCCAGGGCGGAUUAGCUAGUUGGUGGGGUAAAGGCUUACCCAGGCUAUGAUCGGUAACUGGCCUGAGAGGGUGACCGGUCACAUUGCGACUGAGAUCCGGCCCAGCCUCCUAUGUGAGGCAGCAGUGGGGAAUAUUGCCCAAUGGGCGGAAGCCUGAUGCAGCGACGUCGCGUGCGGGAUGACGUCCUUCGGGUUGUAAACCGCUUUCGCCUGUGACGAAGCGUUAGUGACGGUAAUGGGUAAAUAAGCACCGGCUAACUACGUG